rnacentral:tRNA from 1 species
GAGGGUACAGCUCAGUGGUAGAGUGUGUGCUUAGCAUGCACAAAGUCCUGGGUUCAAUCCCCCGCACCGCCA